rnacentral:rRNA from 1 species
GACAGAGGUCUCGAGCGUUAGGCGGAAUCACUGGGCUUAAAGCGUGUGUAGGUGGAUGUCUAAGUACCUUGUGAAAUCCCACGGCCUAACCGUGGAAUUGCUUGGUAUACUGGAUGUCUUGAGCCAGCUAGGGGCAACCGGAACAAAUGGUGGAGCGGUGAAAUGCGUAGAUAUCAUUUGGAACGCCAAUGGUGAAAACAGGUUGCUGGGGCUGUGCUGACACUGAGACACGAAAGCCAGGGGAGCAAACGGG